rnacentral:rRNA from 1 species
UCUUGUGAANUCUAACGGCUCAACCGUUAAACUGCUUGGGAAACUGAUAAUCUAGAGUAAGGGAGAGGCAGAUGGAAUUCUUGGUGUAGGGGUAAAAUCCGUAGAUAUCAAGAAGAAUACCUAUUGCGAAGGCGAUNUGCUGGAACUUAACUGACGCUAAUGCGUGAAAGCGUGGGGAGCAAACAGGAUUAGAUACCCUGGUAGUNCACGCCCUAAACGAUGUAUACCGGUUGUUGCUGUGCUAGUCACGGCAGUAAUCCACCUAACGGAUUAAGUAUACCGCCUGGGGAGUACGGUCGCAAGAUUAAAACUCAAAGGAAUAGACGGGGACCCGCACAAGCGGUGGAGCAUGUGGUUUAAUUCGAAGAUACGCGAAGAACCUUACCCGGACUUGAUAUCUAACAAAUCAUCCAGAGAUGGAAGAGUGUCUGCUUGCAGAAAUGUUAAGACAGGUGCUGCACGGCUGUCGUCAGCUCGUGUCGUGAGAUGUUGGGUUAAGUCCCGCAACGAGCGCAACCCACGUCAUUAGUUGCUAACGGUUCGGCCGAGCACUCUAAUGAGACUGCCUUCGUAAGGAGGAGGAAGGUGUGGACGACGUCAAGUCAUCAUGGCCCUUAUGUCCGGGGCGACACACGUGCUACAAUGGCAUAUACAAUAAGACGCAAUAUCGUAAGAUGGAGCAAAUCUAAAAAAUAUGUCCCAGUUCGGAUUGGAGUCUGCAACUCGACUCCAUGAAGCCGGAAUCGCUAGUAAUCGUAGAUCAGCCAUGCUACGGUGAAUACGUUCCCGGGUCUUGUACUCACCGCCCGUCACACCAUGGGAGUUGAU